rnacentral:rRNA from 1 species
GACGAACGCUGGCGGCGUGCCUAAUACAUGCAAGUCGAGCGGAGUUUUUAAAAGCUUGCUUUUAAAAACUCAGCGGCGGACGGGUGAGUAACACGUGGGCAACCUGCCCUGUAGACUGGGAUAACUUCGGGAAACCGAAGCUAAUACCGGAUAAUCAUAGAAGUUGCAUAGCUUCUAUGUAAAAGUUGGGUUUACCUAACACUACAGGAUGGGCCCGCGUCGCAUUAGCUAGUUGGUAAGGUAACGGCUUACCAAGGCGACGAUGCGUAGCCGACCUGAGAGGGUGAUCGGCCACACUGGGACUGAGACACGGCCCAGACUCCUACGGAAGGCAGCAGUAGGGAAUCUUCCGCAAUGGACGAAAGUCUGACGGAGCAACGCCGCGUGGGCGAUGAAGGCCUUCGGGUCGUAAAGCUCUGUUGUUAGGGAAGAACAAGUGCUAUUUCGAAUAGGGUGGCACCCUGACGGUACCUAAAC